rnacentral:rRNA from 1 species
CUACGGGUUGCAGCAGUUAAGAAUCUUUUGCAAUGCGCGAAAGCGUGACAAAGUGAGCCAGAGUGCUUUUCUAAUUUGAAAAGCUUUUAUGAAAUGUAAAAAGUUUCAUGAAUAAGGACUGGGUAAGACGAGUGCCAGCCGCCGCGGUAAUACUCGCGGUCCAAGUCGCAGCCAUUUUUAUUUGGUCUAAAACAUCCGUAGCUUGUUCAAUAAGUUUUUUGUGAAAUCUUGUAUCUUAAAUACAGGGCGCGCAAAAAGUACUAUUGAGCUAGAGACUGGAAGACGUAGGAAGUACGAUUGAGGUAGUGGUAAAAUACUUUAAUCUUAGUCGGACUCACAACAGCGAAGGCAUCCUACGAGGACAGUUCUGACAGUAAGGGAUGAAGGCUAGGGGCGCAAAACGGAUUAGAUACCCCGGUAGUC